CCAGCACCUGCGCGGAGGAGAAGCGAGCGUGUGGUCAGGCUUCCGGGGCCGGCGGACCGGCGUCGAGGCCUCGAGAGCCCGGCGUCUGUUUGACCAAAAUCCUACCGCUUCGAAUCCCCACGGAUAUCCCUUAAAGAGCCUUACUUUCAGAAAACACACAUCCCGGCGGAAAUUUGCAAGAUAGAACAUCCCGACGGAGAGCCUCUCCCCUUGGUGGCCUCUCCCUGCCCAAGACACACCCUGUCUGAGAGAACGGCGUCCGCCCGCCCCCACGCUCUGACACACAGACCUCAUCUGCACGGAGAGCUACUAAUCCUGACCCAUGUAUACAACAGAUACAUAGGAUACACUCCGACAGAGAUCCUGGUGCGCACACACUGAUCAGGACACACGGACAUCCUGGCAGAAGUGCUCACCUGAACUCCAGGUUCGGCAGUGGGAACGCAGACACACUUAGAUACUCAGGCCCGCGUGGACCGUUCACAAAGAACACGCAUUUAGCAGAAGAUGCCAGAAUUGUGCUAGUUGCGGGGAGUGCAAGGACAGAAUCCAAGCAGGGGGGACGACCAUCAUGUGUACAAGCAGGGAGACUUUAUUAAUCAUUUAGCAAACAUUUAUGGACUGCUUGGGAUAUGCCAAGCAUUAGGCUAGGCCCUGGGGAAAAAGAGAAAUGCAACGUGGUCUCUCACAUGUCUAAUGAGGAAGACAUCCCAACAAGUAAAUAAUUACAACAGGCACUGUGGUAGAGGUGAGAAGACUUUGCGUUGUGCCCUUCUCCUAUGACAUCAAGCGCAAUCAUCGGUUCAGCUCUCACCUGUCUCUGGGGCAGCACCGUGCUCUGCUGUGGUAGAAGAAGCCUUGGGAGCUAGCAUUGUCUUGUUGUUGCCACUGACAGGCAAGUCCACAGUCACAGGGAGGGACCAGGAUCCCCAGGAGCCAAGGAGGGAAACCCCAUCAGGUUGGCUACGCAGCUGGAGCCAGUAGGAGUUACCAGGCUGGAGCCCGGAGAUGAGGCAGCUUCCACCCAUCACUAUCAGAGAUGGAGCCUUGGAAGAAGAAUCCCAACCUCAAAAUCUGGGUCAGCCUCUCAGCCAAGACAGCCUCCAUCUCUUCUAUUUGAAGCCCCACAGCAUGCCUAUGGAGAAACGCUCAGUUCCUCUGGAUGGAUAUGCACACAGAUGGGGGGCCAGAGAUGAGGAAACUGAGAUGCAGAGAAGUUAACCAUUUGCCCAAGAUCACAUACCUACUAAGAGGUAAAGCUCAGGAGGUCAAGCUUCAGAACCCAAGCGCUUAACAGCCGUGUCAUGCUACUUACUGGAGGUGUAAUCAGCCGGGAAACGACUGUCUGCCUCACAACCAUGACAAAAUGGUGGCUCUUUCCACUUUAAUAGGUUCUGUAACAUGCACGAUGAACACAUUCUCCCUGGGACUGGACGUGUUCCCUCCAUCGCGGGCGGCCUCCACAGCUACCUUUAGUCCUUUGCUACUCAAAGCGUGUUCUGUAGACCAGCAGUAAAAGCAUUACCUGGGAGCCUGUUAGAAAUGCAGACUCUUCGGCCCCGUCCCAGACCUACUGAAACGGAAUCUGCACUUUACCUAAAUCCCCAAAUGAUUUGAAUACACGUAAAAGUUUGAGAA